UUUUUUUUAACCUGGAUUACUAUUACAAUUUUCACACCAGACUGCAAUCUCAUUUCUUUCUCCACACUUUGGCGGCCAGAAUGAUCUUUCUGAGGACCACAGCAUCACAGAGCUCCUUGGUUCCAUGCCCAGUCAUGGCUCUCACUGUCUUCAGGGUAAAACCCACGCUCCUUAGAAUGGCCACGCCUCCCCGGAGCUUGGUCUCUGUGGGUUUUCCUAUAUUCAUUUCCUUUCCAUCUUGCACACUAAGCUCAGUAAUACCCAAGCAUUUAGUGUUUUCCUCAACACCUUCCUUAGUUUCCUGCCUCUGGGCCUCAGCCAGGCUGGGCCACCUGCUGGGAAGAUGUUUGCCUGCCUUUCUCACCCACAACUCAUGGAGGGAUUUCUCCUCUCAGAAGCCCUUACUGCCCCUCCUCUGGGUUCCCAAGGAUGUACAUUUUAACAUAGCCUAACUACAGUAUAUUUAAUGUAUUAAACACUAAUGUGCUAAAUAUGUUUGUCUCUCUCUUUUGAAAACAUGUAUCAACCAGCUGUUUGUUGUUGUUGUUGUUUGUUUUACAGAAAGUCUCACUCUGUCACCCAGGCUGGAGUGCAGUGGCACGAUCUCGGCUCACUUUAACCUCAGCCUCCCGGGUUCAAGCGAUUCUUGUGCCUCAGCCUCCCGAGUAGCACAGAUGUGCACCACAUCUGGCUACCAACCAGCUGUCUUAUUCAAAGGUGUGUCCCCACCAUCUUAUUACACAAAUAUUUGUUAAUGUAAAAUUGCUAAUUUAAAAAGAAGCUUAGGCUUAUCUCUGACUCCCCUUUCAUUUUCACAUGCACAUCUAAUCCAACACGUGCUGCCGGUUCUGCCUUUAAAAUAUAUCCAGAAUCCAACCACUUCUCACCCAUUUACCCAUUUUCUGCCUGGACAACAACUGCGGGUCUCCCUACCCGCCCUGUUCCCCACCCUCCUUCUGUUCUCACACAGCAGCCAGCGUGAUGCUUUGAAAACAUCAAUCGGCUCCUGUCACCCCAGUGCGCAAA
rnacentral:lncRNA from 1 species